rnacentral:rRNA from 1 species
GACGAACCGUGCGAACGUUGUUCGGAUUCACUGGGCUUAAAGGGCGCGUAGGCGGGUCUUCAAGUCCGGGGUGAAAUACUCUCGCUCAACGAGAGAACUGCCCCGGAUACUGGAGACCUCGAGGGAGGUAGGGGCAUGUGGAACUUCCGGUGGAGCGGUGAAAUGCGUAGAGAUCGGGAGGAACAUCUGUGGCGAAGGCGGGUUGCUGGGCCGACACUGACGCUGAGGCGCGAAAGCCAGGGGAGCGAACGGG